AUCUACAGACAUGCCACCCUGAACAUACCUGAUCUUGUCUGAUCUUGGAAGCUAAGCAGGGUUGGGCCUGGUUAGUACUUGGAUGGGAGAAUCACUGCCAUAUUGCACCACUUUAUGUUGGUA
rnacentral:rRNA from 1 species